GAAACACAUGCUUCUCAAGUCUUC
rnacentral:siRNA from 1 species